UACGUAGGGUGCGAGCGUUAAUCGGAAUUACUGGGCGUAAAGCGUGCGCAGGCGGUUCUGAAAGUCAGCUGUGAAAGCCCCGGGCUUAACCUGGGAACUGCGGUUGAAACUACAGGACUAGAAUCUGGCAGAGGGGGGUGGAAUUCCACGUGUAGCAGUGAAAUGCGUAGAGAUGUGGAGGAACACCGAUGGCGAAGGCAGCCUUCUGGGCCAACACUGACGCUCAUGCACGAAAGCGUGGGGAGCAAACAGG
rnacentral:rRNA from 1 species